UUAAUUUCGUCCGUAGAAAUUUUUAUUAAAUUUAUUCUUUCUAUUGCAAUUCAUGUGAAACUUCGAUUGAAAGUCACCAUCCGACGCAAGUAGAAUUCGAUGCAUCGUGCCGGAAAACGUCGUAUGUGAAAUUUUCAGAGGUGUUCACAGUGUUAUCAAGGUACCAAAUUCGCUACUCGGCUCAUAAAAAUGGAGAUGGAAAUGGAAAUUAAUUCCUCAGGCGAACGAAACCAAAAAAAAAAACAACCGGUAGCUUCAUACAUAUUUGCCAAUUUUCGUCAACCGUUCGAUGCUACCGAUACAUAUUUCCUCCACCUUAGGCGGGCAAAUGAGGAUUACCUACACAAUAGAGGGGAAAACAUCAGCAGCAACACGAGUCAGAAAUAUCGAAGAGUCGUGUUCGGUACCUGGAAGCUCGAAUCGAUUAGCCUUGGAUGGGAAACGAGUUUGGAGUUGACCUUUCGUGGAAUUCAUAAAUAUUUAUUUUGAUUGGAAGUGGAAUUUUACAUUUUAAGAUGAAUGCUUGCCUGAGAUGAUCAAGAUUGUAGGGUCACUUCACUCUGAAGGAUCAUCCCGCUUAAAUUCAGCUAAAAUCGUUUGAUAAAUUGUUGUCAAGUGAACAGAAUUUUCUAUAAUAAAAUUGAGACAAUUCAUCCGAAAAACCGACAAAGAGAAGCCAGUAUGCAAACAUGUGAAAGACAUC